GCGCGGUGUUCCUCACAACGGAUCGUCCGGCACGUUCCUGCCGGUGACGGAAGGCAAGA
rfam:Luteipulveratus mongoliensis strain MN07-A0370 genome.